rnacentral:rRNA from 1 species
UACGGAGGGUGCAAGCGUUGUCCGGAUUUAUUGGGCUUAAAGGGUGCGUAGGCGGCCCGUUAAGUCAGUGGUGAAAGCCUCCAGCUCAACUGGAGAACUGCCAUUGAUACUGGCGGGCUUGAGUACAGACGAGGUAGGCGGAAUUGAUUGUGUAGCGGUGAAGUGCAUAGAUACAAUCAAGAACACCGAUUGCGUAGGCAGCUUACUAGGCUGUAACUGACGCUGAGGCACGAAAGCGUGGGGAGCGAACAGG